GACGAACGCUGGCGGCGUGCUUAACACAUGCAAGUCGAACGGUAAGGCCCUUCGGGGUACGACGAGUGGCGAACGGGUGAGUAACACGUGGGUGAUCUGCCCUGCACUUCGGGAUAAGCCUGGGAAACUGGGUCUAAUACCGGAUAGGACUCCGAAUCGCAUGGUUUGGGGUGGAAAGCUUUUGCGGUGUGGGAUGGGCCCGCGGCCUAUCAGCUUGUUGGUGGGGUGAUGGCCUACCAAGGCGACGACGGGUAGCCGGCCUGAGAGGGUGUCCGGCCACACUGGGACUGAGAUACGGCCCAGACUCCUACGGGAGGCAGCAGUGGGGAAUAUUGCACAAUGGGCGCAAGCCUGAUGCAGCGACGCCGCGUGAGGGGAUGACGGCCUUCGGUUGGUAAACCUACUUUCAUAGGACGAAGCGUAAGUAGACGGUACCGUAUAGAAGAAGACACCGGCCAACUACGUAGCCAGCAGCCGCGGUAA
rnacentral:rRNA from 1 species